UCUUGAUUCGGAUUCGUGAAGAAGGAGGGGCUACCGAGGGCGGAUGCUCCACAUCCAUCUUCCCCACACAGGCUUCUGCCUGGAGAGGAAGAUAAAGCAGCUUGUUCCUCCCUCACUAAUGCAUUACCGUGGUGUGGCCUGUGGCAAACAAGGACCAAUUAUUGAGUGUAGGUGUGGGUGUGCGUGUGAGCAUGUGCAGAGCCGAGGCUGAGGAGAGGUAAGGAAAGAAAGGAGUGAAGUGGCCAGACAAUCGUGGUCACGUGUGUUUUCCAGGGUGUGGGGCUGUGAAUGAACCCAUGCAGGGCCUGGGAGCUGUGGAGGCUUAGACACCUCUCUCUGAUCCCCGGACGCCAUGCAAUGAGAAUUGAUACUCA
rnacentral:lncRNA from 1 species